AUUGAGUUCUUUGCUUAUGAUGCUAAAUAUACUUUUGGAUGUUAAUUUGAAACACAAUGGAAAAUUGGGACUUAUUCUAAAUUAGUCAAAACAAUUAAAUUAACUGACUCAAUUAAUGAUUUUAACUUUGACACAGUUGAAUAAAGAGAAGUUUUCUGAAUUAAAAGUGAUAUAGAAAUGUGAUCUAAUUAAAUAAAUUUUCCAUCCCAAAGUCAUACAACUGUAUGUCAUUUUUUCCCCGUCCAAUGAAUGUAUCAUACAGACAAUAGUGUUGGGUAUUGUUAGGAGCCUUGGGAACAUAGCAAGUCGUCAAUUAAAGCAGAUUGGUGGUACAAAUGGUUAAGUUCUGUUAUCUCAGUACUCUUUUAACUGCUGCUUUGUCUUUGCUCUUCAGCUUGUGAAUCUUUCAGUGGCUUUUAUGAUCUGGGCUGAGAGCAGUGCCCACCUUGUGUUUGAUGGAAUUUCUCCUUGCAUUUGGUAUAGGGAUUUGUGAUAGCAAUGGUCAGGUUUGUUUUCACAAUGUUGAAAGUAGUUUAUCUGUGAUCAGUAAUUUUACUUUGCUUGAAAAUGAUAAUGGAAAAGAAAAGAAUUUUAGUAGGGUAAUGUAAAAUCUUAAUGGACCCGUGUUUCCCUGAAUCCUCGCGGAUCUUCGUUGGACAAAGAGGGGACAAUCUAACUUGUGGGUGGGCCAAUAGCUAGCGAUCGUUUGUUGUUAUAUUUGGUUCUGUGUGAUUCCUGUUUCAGAUAGUCCACUAGUAUUGAUGAUAGGAAGAGAGAGGGAAACUGAACUUGCUGAGGAGAAAAACAGCAGCAAGUACAAUUUGAUAAGCGAUCCGGGAUAUUGAUGUUCGAAGUCGGAAUAGAAAUUAAAACCGAAUUAAUAUGUGAUUGUAAAACUCUGCCAAUGCAGUGAUUAUGUAAUGUGAUAAUCUAGUUUAUGGUCUAAGAUGAAGAAUCAACAGUUUCAUGUUUUGGCUGAA